rnacentral:rRNA from 1 species
GACGAGGAGGACAAGCGUUAUUCAGUGUGACUAGGCGUAAAGAUCAUUAAGGUGGUGACCAAGAUCAAAAAAGCUUGAGUACACCUCAAGAUAACAGGUCACUAGAGUAAGAAAAAAGAAAGGAGAAUUCCCUAAGUAGUGAUAAAAUACGUUGAUCUAGGGAGGAACACCAAAAGCGAAGGCACUUUUCUACCACUUACUGACACUGAAAUGAGAAAGUCUGGGGAGCAAAUGGG